GACGAACGCUGGCGGCGCUUCUAACACAUGCAAGUCGAACGAGCGAGAGAGAGCUUGCUUUCUCAAGCGAGUGGCGAACGGGUGAGUAACGCGUGAGGAACCUGCCUCAAAGAGGGGGACAACAGUUGGAAACGACUGCUAAUACCGCAUAAGCCCACGACCCGGCAUCGGGUUGAGGGAAAAGGAGCAAUCCGCUUUGAGAUGGCCUCGCGUCCGAUUAGCUGGUUGGUGAGGUAACGGCCCACCAAGGCAACGAUCGGUAGCCGGACUGAGAGGUUGAACGGCCACAUUGGGACUGAGACACGGCCCAGACUCCUACGGGAGGCAGCAGUGGGGAAUAUUGCACAAUGGGGGAAACCCUGAUGCAGCGACGCCGCGUGGAGGAAGAAGAUCUUCGGAUUGUAAACUCCUGUUGUUGAGGAAGAUGAUGACGGUACUCAACAAGGAAGUGACGGCUAACUACGUGCCAGCAGCCGCGGUAAAACGUAGGUCACAAGCGUUGUCCGGAAUUACUGGGUGUAAAGGGAGCGCAGGCGGGAAGACAAGUUGGAAGUGAAAUCUAUGGGCUCAACCCAUAAACUGCUUUCAAAACUGUUUUUCUUGAGUAGUGCAGAGGUAGGCGGAAUUCCCGGUGUAGCGGUGGAAUGCGUAGAUAUCGGGAGGAACACCAGUGGCGAAGGCGGCCUACUGGGCACCAACUGACGCUGAGGCUCGAAAGUGUGGGUAGCAAACAGG
rnacentral:rRNA from 1 species